CCCGCUGAACUUAAGCAUAUCAAUAAGCGGAGGAAAAGAAACUAACAAGGAUUCCCUUAGUAACGGCGAGUGAAGAGGGAACAGCUCAAAUUUGAAAUCUGAUGGCCUACGGCUAUCCGAGUUGUAAUCUAGAGAAGUGUUUUCCGCGCUGGACCGUGUACAAGUCCUUUGGAACAAGGCGUCAUAGAGGGUGAGAAUCCCGUCUACGACACGGACUACCAGUGCUUUGUGAUACACUCUCAACGAGUCGAGUUGUUUGGGAAUGCAGCUCAAAAUGGGUGGUAAAUUCCAUCUAAAGCUAAAUACAGGCGAAAGACCGAUAGCGAACAAGUACCGUGAGGGAAAGAUGAAAAGCACUUUGGAAAGAGAGUGAAACAGUACGUGAAAUUGUUGAAAGGGAAACGCUUGAAGUCAGUCGCGUCGUCCGAGACUCAGCCUCGCCUCGGCUUGGUGUACUUCUCGGAUGACGGGUCAGCAUCAAUUUUGCCCCUUGGAUAAUGGCGAGGGAAAUGUGACACCUUUGCGGGUGUGUUAUAGUCUCUAGUCGCAUGCAAGGGUCGGGAUUGAGGAACUCAGCACGCGCCUUCGGGCGUCGGGGUUCGCCCACGAUACGUGCUUAGGAUGUUGGCGUAAUGGCUUUAAACGACCCGUCUUGAAACACGG
rnacentral:rRNA from 1 species